AAAGGAACAGGAAGAAGACACAUAGAAGGUAAGCCAGAAAAGGAACCUUAAAAUUUUAUUUAUUUCUUUAAAAAAACUAAUUCUUCAAUUGAUAGUGUUAUGUAUUUAAGGGCUAUUGGUCUGGUCCACAUUGUGCAAGGAACGAUAUGUCUUUAAAGUUCUCCAUUAACAGUGCCACUUGUUUAUACGAUGUCACCAGACAGCUAGAGACAGACACAAGGAUUUGUAUAGUUAGUUUGUGAGAAUGCAGCUUCACAGAGAGAAAUUCAGAUCUGACCUUGGUCCUUGACUGAUUGAUUGCAGCAAUAGAUAAAGCUACACACCACUAGUCAUGGACCUGGUGAUAGUAUUCUAGAUCUAACAUUCUAAAAUGUGAUGGCAGUCCGGACACUGGAAACCCCCUGCCCAGGACUGCCACCACAACCACUUACACAUCUAUAGAGCUCCCAGUGCCUAGACUGCCACCACAACCACUUACACAUCUAUAGGGCUCCCAUUGCUAGGAUUGCCACCACAACCACUUACACAUCUAUAGGUCUCCCAGUGCCAGGAUUGCCAUCACAACCACUUACACAUCUAUAGGGCUCCUAGUGCUAGGAUUGCCACCACAACCACUUACACAUCUAUAGGGCUCCUAGUGCCCGGACUGCAACCACAACCACUUACACAUCUAUUCUUUAGGGCUCCCAGUGCCAGGACUGCUACUACAAGUACUUACACAUCUGUAGGGCUCCCAGUGCCAGAAUUGCCACACAACCACUUACACAUCGAUAGAGCUCUCAGUGUCUGGACUGCCACCACAACCACUUACACAUCUAUAGGUCUCCCAGUGCCAGAAUUGCUACCACAACCACUUACACAUCUAUAGGGCUCCUAGUGCCCGGAGUGCCACCACAACCACUUAUACAUCUAUUCUAUAGGGCUCCCAGUGACAGGACUGCCACCACAACUACUUACACAUCUGUAGGGCUCCCAGUGCCCUGACUGCCAAAACAACCACUUACACAUGUAUAGAGCUGCCAGUGCUCAGACUGCCACCACAACCACUUAAUAUAUAUGUGCAAUUCGUUUCAUGCAAUUUGGACAUUUGAAUGCUUACGAAUUGCCAAAGUUCGAUAGUUCGGAAGUGCCGAACUGAAUGCCAUUGGUCCGAACUGCCGAAGCAGACACAUUUUUUUACUUACCCAAAUUUCUGAACCGAACGGAACCAAAUUUGUUGCCCAUGCACAUCCCUAAUAUUCAGUUCUUGAGAAUUGUUUUCAUAGCCCACCUCUGACUACUGCUUUAUCAGAACUUUAUACCAAAUGUGGUUUGAAAACUCCUUGUCAUGCUGUAUAUUUGGGAUUUCAAACCAAAUGCAUCUGCUUUACAGAUCAUAAUCCUGCAGCGUGUCUAAACAUACAGCAUGACAAGGGCUUUUUGUAGGUGCAUUUACUUUGAAAUUCCAAUCGACAAUAUAAUACAUUUUAUCUCUAAAAGUAAUUUUUUUCAAUGUUGUAUAUGGCAGCUUGUUGUACUAUUCCCAACUUUAAAGAAACACUAUAGCGUUAGUAUACAAAUGUGUAUAUUCUUAACGCUAUAGUGCCCUAGUCACUGUUUAGGUGUCCAGGCCCCUGCUGCCACAGUAUGACAGCCACUAGAGGUAAGCUAAUCCUGCAAUGAACAGGAGUGUUUCAGCUGCACGGUUAAAAGAGUGUGCUGGGGGAGCAAGGCACACAGACCAUUUAAUUGAUCAUCACAAGUCACUGUUCUGAAUUCUAGCAGUAUUCUUAUUGACUGAAAUCACCUAUUUGCAAUGGGUCAGUAAGGUUUUUUUUUUUUUGUCUGUUUCCUUCUUUCCCUUCAGUUUCCAUUAGAAUGGCAAUAUUAACAAGGCCAAUUGCGCUAAUGCGCAUGUUCAAUGCUUCUGUAAUAGGACUGGGAAUUCACAUAGAACGCUCAUUUUCCCUCAUUUUCUUCAAAUAGCCAUUGUCACUGUUGGUGGUAACUGGCACCAGCUUUUAAUGUUGCAGGAAGAAGGGAGAAAAUUCAGUGAUCCCGACUAAACUCGAAUGAAUGAAUUAUCUCAGCUGCCAUGUAAUAUCAGUCAUGCAAUAAUAUUUAUCACAUUACAGCUCAAUACAAGAGUGUUGGUUGAAAAAUUCACAUGGGGUAUAUCAACCAUGUCACUGUUGUAUGGUGCUAUGUGUCAUUGAGAGAGAUUGUAAAUCUCAUCUGACUAUGCCAACGAUGGUUGCAUGUAACGUAUCCAGACUGUGCUAAAUUUUCUAGAUAAAUUGGAUCACUUCCACGUUGUGCAAUUAGCAAUAAGGAUAUCAAUGAAAGCAUUUCUACCCCAGAUAGAAUGUUACAUUUGCAGAAUAAGAGUGAGAAGGAAAAAAAUAAAUGUCAAGGAAAAGCAGAAUGUUGAGGGAUACAGAAAUCAAGAAAAUAAUGAAGAGCUACCAAAUCUUACAUAGAAUCUGAACAUUUUCUCCUGGGUUUUUGAAGUAGUCUAUGGUGAGGUAUGUUCAGUGUGUUUGGAACUUUGUAUUUUUAUUAAAUCUCAUGGACAAAAAAUUCAUUAUAAGCAAGACUGUAUGUAGUUAAUGAACUCCUAAAUAUUGUUCCAAAAGGUCUUCUAUAUCUUUAUAUGUAUGAUGGACUUUUGAAGGCCCUUUUUAAACCCAUAAUUGAAGCUUGGUAUCAAUAGAGCGUACUGUCCGGGCAAUAUCUCCACCAUUUUUCUCUUUAUUUUUUCUCCAUCAUUUCCUUUUCAGAAAUACUAGUCUCUCACUACACCAUUGCUCAAAAUCCUGUUCGGUAAAAUGUUUAUUGAAAGGUAAAAUUCAGGACAUUUGAUUAGACCCAUUCCACAGCUUUUACAUAAAUUUAAAAUCUCUGUGAGUUUCCAAACUGAUCUAAAAUUCAUUCAUAUUACUGACCCCAAAACAUGAUUUAUUUUGUCCUAUUAAAAAGCAAAUAAAAGGUCAUAUGCAUGUUAGGGGGAUUCAAGCUACUAAAAGGCAGGUCAAAGAUUGACAUGAAACAUAUGUUUAGGGAGUUACUCACGUUCUGUCAAUUUGCAUAAAUCCAGAGACUGAAACCUGCAGUUGUUAAUUUGACCAAAUGAAGGACUGCAUUAAAGGAAAAAUCAGGCCAGUUUUGUUACAAAUGAACCAUGGGUUGCAAGAUUUUGAUGACAUUUCCAUUAUUAUAUGUUUUCUAUAGUUCGUUUUAGCAAGUGUCAAUUUUUGGUAUCUCUGGGAAUAAGAUAGGACUUGGUUUAAUUUUUUUGGAUCAACAUCAGAAAUGAUCACAAUUCUGUUAUAAAAUAAUUUCAAAUGAUUUAUCUACAGAAAACACCAUUAAAUAUUAGCAAGGUUAUUCACUAAAGUCCAAAUGACCAAACUUCAUUGAAAGGCUUUAUUUCCAGGAUGAAUUCAGUCUGGGCCCGGAGGCUUCAACUCCCUGUCUAGAGUAAAAAAAAAUGUUAACUAUUUGCCUGCUGGCCCCGGCUAAUUAAAAAUAGGAGUGGUAGACAUAUCAUUCUCCACCCCCCCCAAUGAAAAAGGUCAGCAAGACCAUGCUAAUGUCACCACAAAAUGUUGUGUCUUUUUCAGUUAAAUGUAUACAGUGCAUGAUCCCUGAUCUCACUUUUGAGAAUCUGGGCUCAAUGGUUCAAAUUAGAUUUGGAUAUUUGUUUUGGACUGAAUUCAUUCUGAUGAAGUGUUCUGUCGAAUUUCUGAAUUCCGAGACCAAACAUAAUGAAUUAUGAACUAACUGAACCAUGCAAUGCCGAAGAUAUUCAGGAGUUGGGUCAAUGUUCCGAAUUUCACCCAUGUCAACAAAAAAGAAAAAGAUGAUUAAUGGGAAAAAAUAGAUUAUUAAAUAAUAGGGGACAGUCACUAAAUGUGGACUUAUUUUUACAGUUAAAGUGAUAAAUGGGUAAUAGAGGGAAAACCAAGAGGAACAGUUAAAAAAUGUAUUUAUAUAUUCAUAUAUUAUAUAUAAAUAUAGAAAGAAAUUUCAAUAAUUUUUAAAAAAAAAAUUUUUUUUUGUCGUGCAGGUAAGUACAUUGCAGGAUCAAACGCCUGAGUAUGAGUAUGGCAUGAGUAUAUGCACAUUUUUUUUGUUUUUGAGACGCACAAACAAGCUUAGCCUAUCAUAUGAGUAUUCCUAAUAAAAUGUUGUAUACCUGUAGAGUAAAAGUGAGAUCCAAAAGAGUUAUGUAGGUGGAGUCUUGCUGAGCAUAAAAUAAUAAUGAGUAACACAUAAGGUUAACUUUAAGCUCAGGCAAUAAGAGAUCAUCCUGUUUUCUGUGCUUGCUAUAUUGUGAAAGUGAUGUAUAGACUUAAGCCUUUCGUAACAUUGCUAGUUAGUCAGGUGUGCCUUUGUAUUGUUUCUCGUGGGAGUAGCAUCUGGGUUGCCCCUUCGUAGCAUAGUAUGUGAGUAUAAAAAUGUAUGCAUUCAGAGAAAUAUUAAAAACAUAAACAAUAUAAACAUGUGAUUGGUGUCAACAGUGACAGGUUUGUAGGUUUAGUACACAGGAUCUCUUUGGUGAUCUCUGUGAUUUGUGAGCAUGUGUCCCUGGGAAGUAUCCCUUAGGAGUGGGGGUGAUGUUCUCAGGGUGACUUGGCCCCUUUAGCCAACAUCUCGACUUGACAUGGGGGGGCCCCGAGUAUUUAAGAUUGUUAGUCUUACAGAAUGCAUAUUCUGGGUCGAUGUAGUGAGGAUGUGGUCUGAUGGUCUGUUGGCUCGUUUUGAGUACCCCUCCACAUGAAAGGGGGAAAAGGAGGGAGGGGAAGAAGGGUACCCUGGUCUUUGCUAGUGUGAGGUAUGGUCCGGGUGCGGUUUACAUGGGUCCUUUUUGUGCCUGGGUGUAUUCAUAGUGGCCAUGGUGGGUCCUGUGGUCAUGUCUACAGUGGGUGGCCUGUCGGAUCCAAGUCUACACAAGUUUUAUACCGUGUCAGUCUAUGGUGUGUAUGGUCUGGGGUGUACGUGUGCCCCCGGUGGAGGAGUAUCUAAGAGUGACAUUAAUGGCAUGGCAGGGUAACAUCAAUGUGAGAGAGAAAUGUUAACAUACAUAAUUAAAUAAAAUUAGUGAAUAUUUAGAGUCAUCUAAGAAAGAAAAAAAAAAACAUCUCUUGUCGUGAGGAGAGUUAAUGCCUGUCUCUGCAGGCAAACUGGGGCGCUCAAGUGGUGUCAGCUUCCCGGUCAUCUUGUCGUGCUCCCCGAGGUAUGAAGGGACGUGCUGUUGUCGGGUUCCAGGCAUGAGGUAGGGAGGGUGUCAUAUUCGAUCGUGCUGUUACUAGGGCAUCUAUAAGUAGCCCCAACGUUGGUAAUAGGUUGGUUGCCUCCCGGAGAUCUCUGAUGGUAUGAGUGUUGGUGCCGUGUUGUAUCUCCAGCACUCAUUGCAGUCGCCAUUGGUAUGUGAGGCCAUUAGAUCGGAGUAGCACCGUGAAGGGCUUGAGUGAUCUUCUCCACGACAUGGUGCUCCCAGACAGGUCUGCAUAGAACGACAGUUGCAUGCCUUCGAAGGGGUAUGGUGAGUUGUUCCGGACUGCAUUUGUGAGAGCUAGUUUAUCCUUGCAGCUUUGGAAUUUCACUAAGAGAUCCCUCGGUGCUGAUGGUGGUGCUUUCACUGGUUUGUGAAGGUGGAACAGCCCCUCCACUCCAACCUGUUUAGCUUGCUUUGGGGUUAUCAGCAAUGCAAGAAGUCGCCGUAGGAGGUGUGGCAGCUCUGUCUCCGUGAUCCCCUCCGAUAUAACCCUAAUCUUGAGGUUCGACCUGCGCCUCUGAUCUUCCAGCUCUGCAAACUUUUUAUCCAUUUUUGUUUGUUGGGUUUGUAGCUCUUGCACAGACUUUUGGAGUUGGGUCGUUUGUUGGAUGUUUUUCUGGGUGUUGCUUUCUAUAGCUCCCAUGCGGGUCGUUGGGCCUUGCAGGUCCCCUCGGAGCUGGGCCAUGUCGGCCUGGAUUGUAUGUUGGAGCUCCGCUAGCAGGCCUUUCAUGAUCGCCGUCGUCACCGGGUCUAGAGUCUAGAUGAGGGGUGGUAAGUUUAUGAGCUCUCUGCUCGUGUGCUUGACCCUCUGGUAUUUCCAGUGAGAAAUUCUCAGAGAUCUCGGAGUCAUCUGAGUAGUCGGCCAUGUUAGGUUCUGCUCCACUCUGUGCCUUGCGCCAUAAGUCGCCAAUAUUCAUGCCCAUACUUGAAUUUUCUGGUCUUGGCUUUUUGUUUUUUCUCCCCAUAUUGUGAGGGUCUGUUCCAGGGUCGGUUUGGCAGAUUUUGGGGUGUAAGAGACCUCUUUAUUCGCUUGUUAAUGUGCUUAUCAGCCUGGAGCUCGGACAGCAUGCGGCCAUUCAGCUCCGUUGCUUGGCUCCGCCCCUAGAAAGAAAUUUUAAUGCUCCUCUUUUUCUGUCUGUUGGUUACUUUUACUUACCUAAUCUGCAAACUAAAUGGUGGGAAUAUGCUCCUAUCAGUGCUAAUAUUUUGUUUUGUCAAACUGCAUUAAUACAUUACUUCCCAUACCAAUAGUUAAUCAAAUUAUGGAAGCCAUUUGUUUUUUGCAAAUAACUUGGUAGUGAAGAAGUUACGCAAUGUACCAAAUGUUUUUCAGAUUUUUAGUAAAAAUGAUAUCUGUGUAUUAUUAAAUAUUCUAUUUUCUUUUCAGACCAUUGAAUAUGGGCUACCAAUCAACCUAAUGCCUGACUUUUUUAAAUGCCCAUAAAAUGGAGAUUCUUGUUUGGUUCAGAGAACUUGGCAUGUUGAUUCAUGUUCUGCCAUCAUUAAUAAUAUUUUCUUAUAGCUACCUACCAGCUGUUACCACACAAGGUUAUUUUCCAAAACUUGAGAACAUUGGAGCUUUUGUUCCUGUUGCCAC